rnacentral:lncRNA from 1 species
GCCACUGACUACACGAUGAUGGGAGGAUGGACGCCGCCUUCAGGAGCUGGAGGAGCAGAAGACGUGAACAAAGAGAAACAUAAUUGAGGUGGAAGGAUCCAGAAGAAAGGAACCAGUGAUGAUGAGGACAGAGGGCUCUCCACGGGAAGGUGGGAGAGAAUUUAGUUCUCUGUGCCGUGAAGAUGGGAUUGGAGCCAUACAUAUUGCCACCAGUUCACUGAGAGGAGUCAUUGAAAACAUGGCAUUGAGGACAGAGACUGCCACUUCAGAAUUUUCUACAUCCAACUGCUGAAGCCACUCGAAGAUAUUUCCCUCAGAGAACCAUAACCAGCUUUGGAGAAGAUGCUUCCACAUAGCUUGUUUCACAGCAUCUCAUCUCUCAUUAAAACCUUGUUGAGGGAGCAUUACUGUCUGAGCAAUGGACAUAGCUCUCAUACGAACCUUUUCAGCUAACACCGGAUAAGCCAGCUUUCUGACAGCCUCUUUCACAUCCUUGGUGCACCCUACAAUUUUUGGCAAAGUCUUUGCUGAUGGUGCAAUACAUGAUAACACUGCCUGUCUAAGUUCUGGAUUCAAAUCAAUCAUUUUCGAUCAAAGUAGCAUAUGCAUUAACCACUGGGCAUUCAUCAUCCUUUGGAUCCUGAAGUCGUGAAAGCGCCAGAACUGCCUGUAUUCUCACAUUUGGAAUCUUAUCUUUCAGUCUAAUAAGCAUGGCUUCAUUAAUUUUGUCAAACACACCAUCAUCAAUCUGAGCUUCUUCUGGCAUACUUCUCAAAAGCUUGUUUAUGCAGCUCCUGGUUCUUGAACUAACGUAGGCAUCAGCACAGCUGAUUCUCAUUCAGGAGAAGACAGUGCUGUGCCCAGGGGCCCCUGAGCCAUUGCCCAGCUUUCCAGCUUUCCAGGAAGUCUGCACUGGAGAAGCAUUCAACCUCCUCUGAGCUAACAUUUUCAUGUGCACACGUGAUUAUGAGUGUGAUACAGACAUUAUUUUACUUGUGUAACUAAUUUUUAAAUCAGACUAAUAAAAAAAGUUAUCAGUCUAA